AGGGUUUGAUCCUGGCUCAGAACGUACGCUGGCGGCACGCCUAACACAUGCAAGUCGAACGAAGUAGCAAUACUUAGUGGCAGACGGGUGAGUAACAUGUAGGUAUCUGCCCUUUGGCCUGGAAUAACACGAGGAAACUUGUGCUAAUACCGGAUAAGUCUUUACGGAGAAAGCUUUAUGCACCAUUGGAUGAGCCUGCACUUGAUUAGUUUGUUGGUGGGGUAAUGGCCUACCAAGACUGUGAUCAAUAGCUGAUUUGAGAGGAUGAUCAGCCACAUUGGGACUGAGACACGGCCCAAACUCCUACGGGAGGCAGCAGUGGGGAAUCUUGCACAAUGGAGGAAACUCUGAUGCAGCGAUGCCGCGUGAGUGAAGAAGGCCCUUGGGUUGUAAAGCUCUUUCGUCGGGGAAGAAAAUGACUGUACCCGAAUAAGAAGGUCCGGCUAACUUCGUGCCAGCAGCCGCGGUAAUACGAAGGGACCUAGCGUAGUUCGGAAUUACUGGGCUUAAAGAGUUCGUAGGUGGUUGAAAAAGUUAGUGGUGAAAUCCCAGAGCUUAACUCUGGAACUGCCAUUAAAACUUUUCAGCUAGAGUAUGAUAGAGGAAAGCAGAAUUUCUAGUGUAGAGGUGAAAUUCGUAGAUAUUAGAAAGAAUACCAAUUGCGAAGGCAGCUUUCUGGAUCAUUACUGACACUGAGGAACGAAAGCAUGGGUAGCGAAGAGGAUUAGAUACCCUCGUAGUCCAUGCCGUAAACGAUGUGUGUUAGACGUUGGAAAUUUAUUUUCAGUGUCGCAGCGAAAGCGAUAAACACACCGCCUGGGGAGUACGACCGCAAGGUUAAAACUCAAAUGAAUUGACGGGGACCCGCACAAGUAGUGGAGCAUGUGGUUUAAUUCGAAGAUACGCGCAGAACCUUACC
rnacentral:rRNA from 1 species